AAACGACAGAACACAACCGUUCUUCAAAUUCUCGAUUUUACCACCACAAUCCUCGAUUUUGUACUUCGACCCUUCUGAGUGUCAGCGAGUGCGAAGCGCGGGAAAUUUGAACUUCACACCUCUACUCGAGAGAGUGAGUGAGAGAGACUAUGGACGAUUCAGGUGCGAUUCUCUGUCAGAUCUCUCAGCUCAAGGAUAUGCUUGACAAGGUGAACGAGGAAAUCGAGGCGAACAUUCAGAUCACCAGAGAAAUCGAAUCGGAACUCGUCAAGUGUACGGAAACCGAGGUCGGAUUGCUGGCUCGAGAAUCGGAGCUGAUGAAAGCAUCGUACACGCUACAGUUCGAAAUUAACGGCUUGAUGGCAGCCACUGCUGAUUCAGAAACAUCGUGCAAAUCCUUGGAGGAAGAGUUACAGUGUCUAGAAAGGAAGAGGGAUGAGAUACUGACUCGAAUGAACAGCAAACGGGAAGGAUUCCUGAGAUCUUGCUUGGAUUUUCAAAAUAACAUUGGUAAAAAAGGUAACGAUGAAGUUGCAGCUUUGCUCGUGGAGAAAGAGCUUCUAGAAAAUGAAGUUCAUUCCUUAAACAACAGAAAUACUGUUCUACAGAACUCAACAGCUGCAUUUGUGGAAGAGGUUCUUGAAGAUCUUCAUAAUUCUAUCUAUGCUCUAGACGUUGACAUAAGAAUUCGAAAUAUUGAGAAUGAGAAAUUGAUGAAGGAUAUUGAUGAAUUGAAGAAGACAUUACUUUCAACUAUGUCUAUUGGAUAAAAUUUAUGGAACCAGGUGAGAGUGGUCCAUAUCCAUAUAGCUUAUCUUCUAUUCUCUCCUAUAAGUAAGAAGGGCAUCUCGUGAUUCAAUCAUUGCCACAAAUCUCGAGUCUCGACCACAGUUGCUCAGAGAUAUGAAGAAGAUGAUGCAGAGGGAUUCUGAGUCCAUGGGAGGGGUUAAGAAGAAGGUGUUGUCUAAUAAGAGUGUUGGAGUGUAUUUUAAAGAGCAAAAAGAGUGGUUUAAAUAUUUCGUUAAACAAGAUUGAUUGGAGGUUUGCUCAUCAAAUGUUUGGAUCCAUAGUAGGGGCCAGGGGGAGUAAUGGAGCAACAAUUCGAGUAGAGCAGUUUCAACAGUUUUAGCAAUUACGGAGGGAUGGUGUUGGUAGUGAAAUCAUAAAUUUAUUUUAUGAUGGAUAUGUGUUACACAAAAAUGUUGGAGGGGAAAUAUUAUAAUAAUGUAACAUACAAGAAUUCGAUGAAGUG